rnacentral:rRNA from 1 species
UACGUAGGGGGCUAGCGUUGUCCGGAAUCAUUGGGCGUAAAGCGCGUGUAGGCGGUUUGUCGCGUCUGCCGUGAAAGUCCGGGGCUCAACUCCGGAUCUGCGGUGGGUACGGGCAGACUAGAGUGAUGUAGGGGAGACUGGAAUUCCUGGUGUAGCGGUGAAAUGCGCAGAUAUCAGGAGGAACACCGGUGGCGAAGGCGGGUCUCUGGGCCGAUACUGACGCUGAGGAGCGAAAGCGUGGGGAGCGAACAGG